GUAUAUCAUCUGUAUCUUAUUCAAUUCACCUGCGGAGUAAAGUCAGACAACUAGAGGAAGAGAUUAUUAACCUUCUUACAACAUGUAGCAACAAAGGUGGUGUUGGUAAUAACAGCAUUGAAGUUUUGCAACAUGAAGAUUAUAGCUCAUUUUACUUCCAAAAUGCUGACAGUAGAACUAUCGCUUUGUAUACUGUGAUAUUCACACUCAUUAUGCCAUUUGUAUUCUACAAAUAUCUUGAUUACCUUCCACAAAUCAAGACUCUCUCAAAAAGAACAAAGAAUAAGAAGGAGGAGGUUCCCUUGAAGAAGAGGAUUGCGUAUAUGGUGGACGUAUUUUUCUCUGUUUAUCCUUAUGCAAAGCUGCUUGCACUACUCUUUGCAACCAUAUUUCUGAUAGUGUUUGGCAGCUUGGCAUUGUAUGCAGUCAGUGAUGGUAGCUUUUCUGAAGCCCUUUGGCUAUCAUGGACAUUUGUAGCUGACUCAGGAAACCAUGCAGAUAGGGUUGGUACUGGGCCAAGGAUCGUUUCAGUCUCUAUAAGUUCAGGAGGCAUGCUGAUAUUUGCUAUGAUGCUUGGACUUGUCUCAGAUGCCAUCUCAGAGAAAGUAGAUUCACUGCGGAAAGGAAAGAGUGAAGUUAUUGAAAAGGACCAUAUACUAAUUCUUGGAUGGAGUGAUAAACUGGGUUCGCUUUUGAAGCAGCUAGCAAUAGCAAACAAGAGUGUUGGUGGCGGUGUUGUUGUUGUUCUUGCAGAAAGAGACAAGGAGGAAAUGGAGAUGGAUAUUGCCAAGCUAGAAUUUGAUUUCAUGGGUACAUCUGUUAUAUGCAGAAGUGGCAGCCCUCUUAUCGUGGCUGACUUAAAGAAAGUUUCAGUAUCUAAGGCACGUGCUAUCAUUGUAUUAGCAUCUGAUGAAAAUGCAGAUCAGGUUCUUUCCCAGGUGCUAUCUAAUUCUUUGAUUUUUAUACUCUGAUGAAACAUUCUUGAAGUAUUUGUUUUAUUGUUGCUAGAGUGAUGCACGUGCUUUAAGAGUUGUGCUUAGCCUAACAGGAGUUAAAGAGGGCUUGAAGGGUCAUGUUGUUGUGGAGAUGAGUGAUCUUGACAAUGAACCUCUGGUGAAGCUUGUAGGAGGAGAACUCACUGAAACAGUUGUUGCACAUGAUGUGAUUGGACGUUUGAUGAUCCAAUGUGCUCUACAACCCGGCCUUGCACAGAUUUGGGAAGAUAUAUUAGGGUUUGAGAAUGCGGAAUUUUACAUCAAAAGGUGGCCUCAGUUAGAUGGUCUGCAUUUUGAAGAUGUGCUUAUUUCAUUUCCUGAUGCAAUUCCUUGUGGGGUUAAGGUUGCUGCAGAAGGUGGGAAGAUUAACUUAAACCCCGAUGAUAAAUAUGUUCUAAAAGAAGGGGAUGAGAUUCUUGUCAUAGCUGAGGAUGAUGACACUUAUGCUCCAGUUCCUCUUCCCAAGGUACGUGGAGGUUCUUGUCCAAAACUGAUUGAUCCUCCAAAAUAUCCAGAGAAGAUACUGUUCUGUGGCUGGCGUCGUGACAUUGAUGACAUGAUAAUGGUUCUAGAGGCAUUACUGGCUCCAGGUUCAGAACUCUGGAUGUUUAAUGAGGUCCCAGAAAAAGAAAGAGAAAAGAAGCUUACUGAUGGUGGA
rnacentral:misc_RNA from 1 species